UCAGAUCUAAGCCAUCCUCAAAGUCUCGUUCCCCUUCUGUCACAAAUGCUUCAAUAUAUACACAGCCGUUUUAUUCAGAAGCGCCAUCUACCAUCAAUUUGGAGAAAGUACAUUCCCGAUUCGAAGCCAUGAAGCUUAAUUUAAAUAAACAUUCAAACCAGGAACAAACUUAAUAAUUAUCAUGAGUGCAUUUAUUAUGCAUUUUUUAUUCAUCUAUUGUGAAAUUGUUUUGUUAGAUAUCAGUACUUGUUUAUUCAUGCAUGUUAUUUAUGUAAAUAA
rnacentral:lncRNA from 1 species